rfam:Modestobacter sp. KNN45-2b asc16_sequence_0084, whole genome shotgun sequence.
CUUGGCGUCGACGUAGCGGGCGUGGUCGUCACCGAACUCGGCGAGCACCCGGGCGCCGAGGAUCGGUCCCAGCCCGGGCUGG